GGUGUGUAAGCGCAGCGAUGCGUUGAGCUAACCGGUACUAAUGAACCGUGAGGCUUAACCUUACAACGCCAAAG
rnacentral:rRNA from 1 species